AGAGUUUGAUCCUGGCUCAGGACGAACGCUUGCGGCGUGCUAAGAAAUGCAAGUCGAGCGAGGUCAGGGUGCUUGCACCCGAAGCCUAGCGGCGAACGGUCGCGUAACACGUAAGCAACCUGCCCCUAAGUGGGGGAUAGCCCGCCGAAAGGCGGAUUAAUACCGCAUGUGGACACGGACUCGCAUGGGACUGUGUCUAAAGCAGCGAUGCGCUUAGGGAUGGGCUUGCGGCCUAUCAGCUAGUUGGUGAGGUAACGGCUCACCAAGGCGACGACGGGUAGCUGGUCUGAGAGGAUGGUCAGCCGGACUGGGACUGAGAUACGGCCCAGACUCCUACGGGGGGCAGCAAUUAGGAAUCUUGCACAAUGGACGAAAGUCUGAUGCAGCGACGCCGCGUGAAGGAUGAAGGCCUUCGGGUUGUAAACUUCUUUUAAGGGGGAAGAAACAAAUGACGGUACCCCUUGAAUAAGCCCCGGCUAACUACGUGCCAGCAGCCGCGGUAAUACGUAGGGGGCGAGCGUUGUCCGAAUUUACUGGGCGUAAAGCGCGCGUAGGCGGACUUUUAAGUCGGUGGUGAAAUCUCAGGGCUCAACCCUGAAACUGCCGCCGAAACUGGGAGUCUUGAGGUAUGGAGAGGGAAGUGGAGUUCCUGGUGUAGCGGUGAAAUGCGUAGAUAUCAGGAGGAACACCCGUGGCGAAGGCGGCUUCCUGGCCAUAUCCUGACGCUGAGGUGCGAAAGCUAGGGGAGCGAACGGGAUUAGAUACCCCGGUAGUCCUAGCCGUAAACGAUGGAUACUAGGUGUUAGAGGUAUCGACCCCUCUAGUGCCGCAGCUAACGCAAUAAGUAUCCCGCCUGGGGAGUACGGCCGCAAGGUUGAAACUCAAAGGAAUUGACGG
rnacentral:rRNA from 1 species